rnacentral:rRNA from 1 species
UACGGAGGGUCCAAGCGUUAUCCGGAAUCAUUGGGUUUAAAGGGUCCGUAGGCGGCUUUGUAAGUCAGUGGUGAAAGCCCAUCGCUCAACGGUGGAACGGCCAUUGAUACUGCAAGACUUGAAUUAUUGGGAAGUAGCUAGAAUAUGUAGUGUAGCGGUGAAAUGCUUAGAGAUUACAUGGAAUACCAAUUGCGAAGGCAGGUUACUACCAAUAUAUUGACGCUGAUGGACGAAAGCGUGGGGAGCGAACAGG